rnacentral:rRNA from 1 species
GAUGAACGCUGGCGGCGUGCCUAAUACAUGCAAGUCGAGCGAACAGACGAGGAGCUUGCUCCUCUGACGUUAGCGGCGGACGGGUGAGUAACACGUGGAUAACCUACCUAUAAGACUGGGAUAACUUCGGGAAACCGGAGCUAAUACCGGAUAAUAUAUUGAACCGCAUGGUUCAAUAGUGAAAGACGGUUUUGCUGUCACUUAUAGAUGGAUCCGCGCCGCAUUAGCUAGUUGGUAAGGUAACGGCUUACCAAGGCAACGAUGCGUAGCCGACCUGAGAGGGGGACCGGCAACACUGGAACUGAGACACGGCCCAGACUCCAACGGGAGGCAGAAGAGGGGAAUCUUCCGAAAGGGGCGAAAGCCUGACGGAGCAACGCCGGGGGGGUGAGGAAGUUCUCCGGUUCGAAAAACUCUGUUAUUGGGGAAGAACAAAUGUGUAAGUAACUAUGCACGUUUGAACGGAACCUAAGCAGAAAGCCACGGCUAACUCCGU